GUGAGUGACCAUGGGGACGUGGUGCCACGGGGUUGGUGGCACAGUGUGAGACCAGGACCGUGUCCCUUGCAGGUUGGUGGCUGGUGGCAGCGAGCAGGGCACAGCAAGUGCCCCGACCCUCCCUGUCACUGCGCCCCAGCCAGGGGUGUCCCUGGGGGAUCCUGUCACCCUGCGCUGCCCCUGCCCCACAUGGCUGCCUGGGUCUGGUUGUACCACGAAGAAGGUCGGUCGUACAACAAAGGGAAGAAGAAGGAGCAGGACGCGGCCGCGUUCUUUUUUUUGUUAGCACACUGCAGGAACACGCAGGUCGUUACUGGUGUCAGUACCGGGUGGUCUGAGUCAGCCGAGUUGUCAGUGGAGAGUGACCCCGUGGAGCUGGUGCUGACAGAUCUCAGAUAUCCCCCAUGCAGAAUUUCCCUUCACCCUGAGCAACAUGUGGGAACUGGGACCAAUGUCACCAUCAGCUGCUGGAACAAGGACUACGGGGGCCACCUUCCUCUUGCACAAGGAUGGGAGCUCAGAUCCUAUCCAGCGCCAGGAGUCCAGUGGUGGGGGCACAGCCACUUUCACCCUUUUUGGAGUGACCCCAGCUGACAGUGGCAUCUACAGGUGCUCCUACCGGCCCCUGGCACUACGCCUUCAUGUCCUCACCCCUUGGGGACAGCGUGAUGCUGGAGGUGACACCCCCACCUGCACCCCCAGGUGCUGAGUUGGUGUCCCGUGGGAACCUGGUGGUGGCAGUGGUGAGGGGCUGCGCUGCUGUCCUCAUCUUUGGCCUCGGAGUCUUCUUUGUCAUCGAUGCCCCAGCCUCUGGAUACGGACAGAUGAGAGUCUGGGUGGGGAAGGGAUUUAAUGGCUUUGAUCUCCUGUACAUCUCCUACACAUCUCCCCAUCUUUCUCUUCCUCUCCUUCCUUUCUUCUGUAGAAUCCACCAGGUGUACCAUUGGAUCCACAAUACAUUGCCUAUCCAUUCCCCAGAUGUUCCCUGCCCCCAUCCCAUCUCCUAUAAAUCCCCCCAUGUUUCCCCUGCCUCCCCUUCCCGGCCCUAUAAAUUAUCUAGUCCCAGUCAUCUUGUGCAUCAGUGUCCAUCCUUUACUGAUCCACUAUAAAUCCAGCCAAGUGAUACCUGCAUCCACCUCCACCCCCUGCCUAUUCUCCCAAAUCCGACAAGUUUCAUACCCCCUUCAUCCCCCAUAACCCCACAAUUCUCUGGUUCUGUUUUGACUCCAGUGCCUACCCACAAAAUGCUGAGGUGGUGAAGUUCCAGAU